UACGUAGGCAGCAAGCGUUGUUCGGAAUUACUGGGCGUAAAGAGUGUGUAGGCGGUUCUCUAAGUUCCGUGUGAAAUCUCCCGGCUUAACUGGGAGGGUGCGCGGAAGACUGGAGGGCUGGAGUAUGGGAGAGGAAAGCGGAAUUCCUGGUGUAGCGGUGAAAUGCGUAGAUAUCAGGAGGAACACCUGCGGUGUAGACAGCUUUCUGGACCAUCACUGACGCUGAGACACGAAAGCGUGGGUAGCAAACAGGAUUAGAUACCCUGGUAGUCCACGCCCUAAACGAUGCAUACUUGGUGUGAGCCGUUCAUUCGGUUCGUGCCGGAGUUAACGCGUUAAGUAUGCCGCCUGGGGAGUACGGUCGCAAGGCUGAA
rnacentral:rRNA from 1 species